UCUUUUCCUCUCUCUAUCACCGCUUGGCAAACGAGAGAGAGCGAAGAACGGAGAGAAGAAAGGUGGGGGUUAAGAGAAGAGUUUGGAGAAAGAAGAGGCGAAGAAUCGAAUUUUUCUUCUUUUUUUCUUUCACCACUUAAGAAUAACGCAUAGCCAGACAAAAAAAUUGA
rnacentral:ribozyme from 1 species